rnacentral:misc_RNA from 1 species
GGAAGUAAAAGUCGUAACAAGAUUUCUGUAGGUGAACCUGCGGAAGGAUCAUUAUUGUAUAACCGAGGUGCGAGGGCUGUCGCUGACCCGAAAGGUCGUGCACGCCCGAGUGCCCUCACACACAUCCAUCUCACCCCUAUGUGCACCACCGCGUGGGUCCCCCUUUGGCUUGUUCGGAGGGGGGCUUACGUUUUCACACAAACUUUGUAUGCAGUGUAGAAUGUAUUUUUUGUUUUUGCGAUCACGCAAUCAAUACAACUUUCAACAACGGAUCUCUUGGCUCUC